rnacentral:tRNA from 1 species
GGGCUCGUAGCGCAGUGGUCGUCGCGCCUUCACCACAUGUGGGAGCACGCCGGUUCGAAUCCGGUCGGCCCCA